rnacentral:rRNA from 1 species
GACGAAGGGGGCUAGCGUUGUUCGGAAUUACUGGGCGUAAAGCGCGCGUAGGCGGCCCUGUAAGUCCGUUGUGAAAGUCGAAGGCUCAACCUUCGAAAGCCGAUGGAUACUGCAGGGCUAGAGUCCGGAAGAGGCGAGUGGAAUUCCUGGUGUAGCGGUGGAAUGCGCAGAUAUCAGGAGGAACACCAAUAGCGAAGGCAGCUCGCUGGGACGGUACUGACGCUAAGGCGCGAAAGCGUGGGGAGCGAACAGG